rnacentral:pre_miRNA from 4 species
AGUGGAAUUGCUGGGUCAUAUGGUAACUGCUUAAUUUUUUGAGGAACUGCCAAACUGUUUUCCAAAGUGGCUGCACUAUUUUACAUUUCUACCAGCAGU